UGAGGUUUCCGACUAUUGUAGUCGAAAAAUCAUAAUUUCUGGGCACAUUUUUCGACUACAGUAGUCAAAAAUCUGGGUUAGAUUUUUGGUAGAAUACUGCCAUUUUAUUAGCAUACCACAACAAUAAACAACUAAUACAACCAAUCAAUUCAACCAAUUCAACCAACCAAUUCCACUAACCAAUUCUAACUUCAACCAACUAAUUCCAACUUCAACCAACCAAUUCAAGCAUUCAAACCCCAUAAUAUCAAACUAAAAUAUUAAUUAAAAUCUAAACAUUCAAUAUCAAGUCUAAGUACUAAUACACAUCGACUCUAAUAUAAUUAAGUCUAAACAGGUAUACCACAACAUCAAAACUUACAAAUAAAGUCUAAUUAUAAAUUCUAAACAUCCAAGAACAUUUAAUCAACCAAAACACACUACUAAACCAAAACACACUACUAGACAUCAGAUUCAGUCUCUUCAUCAUCAUAAGAGUAGGACAUGUGCUUUUUCAUGGAUUUUUUCACUCUAGCAAUGUGAACUUCGGCUGUUUCACACCGUUCCGACAAUAACUUUUGGUGGAAUGCAUUGGGCGUUCAUACAGUGGGCGACUAGCUUCCUCUAGUUGUCCAUAAAAGCGCUUAGCCUCAUCAUUUGGUUCGGAUUGAGCCCCUGCGAACAUCUCAAAAGCAUCUCUCAUCGACUCUGGAAUUUUCAAAAUUAUUCUCUACUCUUUUUACUACCCUCACCACAAAAUCUAAGAAAAUAAUACAAAUUGAGAUAUUCUUCUACAGGUUCCCACUUUGAAUAAUUGCAAUACCUUCAGCAUUUUAACUAUGAAUGACUCUAUAAAUUUAAAAUUUCACAAUAAAAGUUAGGUUGAUUACAUGAAUUCUAUCAUACUAGCAUUCUCUGUUAAUUACUUUUCCAAGAUCUUUCAAACAGCAGCAGAGUUUUUGAGGUAUGCUUAAUUGUUUUGAAAAAUUAUAUAUAAGUCUACAUGUUUAUUAGCUAGCUUCUAGGAUUUUUCUUCUCCUCCAUAUUUUUCUGAUUCUACUUUUGUUUUCUUUUUCCCCUUUGAAUUACAAGUAGCAACAGUAGUAGUAUCAACUAAGCAGUUAAGUAUGACUAUUUGUUUUUGUUUUUAUGGACAUCAUAUGAAUAUGCAUCCCUAUAUAUGAAUUGCUAUAAUAUAAUGAAAAAGUAUGGAUCAACAUAGUGCAGUUGCUUUUGCACCAAAGUUUCAAUGUGACUUGACUAAAAGAAAAUAUAAAACUUUAAGUAGAGGAAUUUUGUCUCUCCUGAGAGCAAUGUUCAAGAGAUGAAACUUAAAAUUGGUGUCGUUAUUACAAUUAUACUACUAAUAGAUAUUCUUGAGUAAAAAGUUUCAAAUUUCAAUCCAUCUGUGUAUCUCUACCAUCUCCUUUACCAUAUUUUACCGGUCUAUCUUCUUCUUUUUUUGUUACGGUACUACACUACUACUGAUCUAUCUUAACCCGGACAAAUAUUUUUAGAAAAAUAAACGAUCUUUUAAAGAGGUGCAGUUUCGGAUUCUUCUUCAUCAAGAGAGUUAACAUCAAGAGAUUGCAAGAAUUAUACCUAGCAUCAUAAGUAAGCUAGGCAAAAAGUUUUACAGUAGAUAUUCGUAGUUCUAGUUCAAGAUUAGUUAGAAUUUCAAACUAGUAAAGAUUUCGUACCUUAUAACAAUGAAAUUGCUAACCGAAAUGUUAUCUCUCCUCUGCCUUACAGCCUGCAACUUCCUCUUGUUGGAGACAAAUUCCUGUACAGUCAACUUCUAAUUUCACUCCAAGGAGGCUGCCCAUUGCAGUCAAAAUGAUCCCAAAAUCAAACAAGAAUUCCAUUCACGAACCUAAAAUAGCUCAGCAAUCAGCCCAGUAAACAUACUCGAUUGGUCAAAAAUUUAGGGGACGAGCUCAAAAAAAAUAAAUAAUUCCUCAAUUCCUCAAAAAAUGUAUUAACGGAUAAAACUACUCAAUUUACACUAAACUUAUAAGUUAUAGUAUAAAAUACCAUGUGAUGUUGAAUGAUAUACAGAAAGGAACACCAAAUUUUAAAAAAUCAACGCACUCUGAAUAAAUCAAAUGGGUCUGUUUGUGAUAUUUUGUUAGGCACUCUUAAUUUUCGCACCAAAUAUAAAGUGCAAACCUCAUUAUCAUUUAAUUAUUCCAUCAUAAUAUUCUUUCUAAGAUCUACUUAAAUUUCAAUAACAAUCACAGAGCAUUCAAAAUAUCACAAACCUAAUCAACAACAAUCGAUUGUUUGACCAUGAGAGAACAAACCCAGUCAAAUUAUUUUUCAAACUAAGUUUCUAACACUAAAAUAGUAGUGUCGCUGAUUUUGCACACUAAAAUGAAACCCUAAGUCGUCAUCGAAGAUUAGACGCGGGGGGGAGGGGGAGAGAGAGAGAGAGAGAAAGAGAGCCUACCUAAUGAAUAACAGUCGAUGAUUUUGUCGGUGCCGUUGGAUUUGAUUUUGCCGGCCCCGUUGAUUAACUGGAGAGCCUAAGAGAGCAUGUAGAGAGAGAGAGAGAGAGAGAGAGAGAAUAAGAGAGAGCGUGUGUGAGAAAAAAAGUAUUAGAAAAGUAAGAGAAUUAGGCAGAAAAUAACUUAAGUUUCCGACUACAGUAGUGACAAAAUAAGGUCUGACAAUAUUUCCGACUACUGUAGUCGGAAAAUAUAUAUUAUUUAAUUAUUUUUUUAAAAAUAAAUUUCGACUACCACGGUCGGGACCAUUUGGUCAAAAGUUG
rnacentral:lncRNA from 1 species